rnacentral:lncRNA from 1 species
AGUUACAGAAAUAGCCUUGGCCUUGGUGUUUUGCUUUUUGUUUAGAUGUUUGUUUUUGUUUUUUUCUCAUAAGACUUUGAAGGAGAAAAAAUUAGUAGGUAUUGAAGAAGCCUUUUAGUUAACUUCCUAAGUCUUAAGAGGAAGGUUAGAUAUUUCCUCAACAGUCUUGCUUUAAACCUACUGUGCUCCAGGGAACUGGAAGUCUUUCUGUUCCACACUAACAGAACUCAGCAUGAGAGAAGUAGGCUUUAGACAGAGGUAGGACAAGGGAUGAUAAAUGCCUUGUGUAAAACUCCCUGUGUGCACAUGCUCACAUGACAAGCAGCUGCAGUCCAGAUGUUUCUGAGAAGCCAGAUACAUUAUUAAAAGUCCAUUCCAGUCACCUGACGUCAGGAAUAUAUGGCAUGCAGCAGUGAAUGCCAAAAACACUUUUGAGAAGGAAACCACAUAUUCUGACCAAUUAUAAAUGAAAAUUGUGUUGUAUUGAGACUUACAAGAAUAGUUAAUGGUAUUGAUCUAGGAUAUGCAUCUCUCUACAAAUACCUGUCAUUAGCUACUGUAAAACAGUGUUUCUAGGGACCAGGUCAACCUUGAAAACACUUUCUCUGCUGGGACCUGUACAUAUUUUGCAAAGUCAUAGACUCAGAUCUAGCUUCUUGUUGACCUUAAGAGAACUGUGACACUGCAUACCAGAGGAACUGCAGGAAGUUAGGCCCUGGUUCCUUCUCGAUACUCUUGGCAAGCAGGUUGAGCCUCCGUGAUUAUAGAUUGAGGUGUUCUGUUUUAGUUUUAGUUUUACAUUCUUUGAGACAGCGUCUCAUGGUGUAGACUAAGCUGGCCUUAAACUUACAGCAAUUCUUCUGCCUCUGUCUCCUCUUAAUGGUAGGAUUUUAGAUAUGUGCUACCAUGCCCAGCCAAGUGGUUGUCUUUCUCUCAUUUCUACUGGAAUUAGAUCAAGUGAAGUGGCUGGAGAGAUGGGUCAGUGGUUCAGAGCACUGUCUAUUUCAGAGAUCCUGAGUUCAGUUCCCUGCACCAUAUUCGUCUGUUACUCAAUUUCCAGAGCACCUGACACUUUGUUCUAGCCUCCUCAGAUACACAUGCACACAGGCACACACAGACACACACACACACACAGCACUACCUUGAUAUCUCCCCCCCCCCACAUACAUACACAUAGACUUUUGUUCAUACAUAUAAAUGAAAAUAAAUCAGGAAGAAAGGGAAUGACUGAUAGACACUGCCUCCUUUGUCUAAACUUUGGUCUUCUAACUAGAAUUGUGUGUCUAUUAUACCUUCUCACUGUUUCCUCUUGGGGGAAGGGGAGGAUCGUGGCACCUGAGAUUGUCAGCCAUUUCUCAGUUGACAUAUUGGGAAAGGGGUGUUCUUAUGACCUCCAGUCUUGCCUGGGAAGAAAUCUUUAACACUUCCACAUUUGAUUUUAACUAAGUGAUAGGAAAUCCUGCUAUGAGCUUUAUGCUAUAAAUAAUGAUAAGUUGAAGUUGGGGCUGGAAAGAUGGCCCAUUAGUUAAGACACUGGUUGUUCUUGCAAAGGACCUGAGUGUAUUUUCUAGCCCCCACAUGGUGCUUAAACCAUUUGUCACUCCAGUUCACUAAGUAAAUCUGUUUUUAAAAGUGGGUGAGUUGGUUAAGUGUCUAACUUCUCUGAACUUGGGUCAAGUACAUAAUAGAUUUUGAAGCGUGCUUUGAUAAUUUAGCAUUAGAUUAACAUUGAAAAGGAAGUAUGCUUCAGUGUUAGUAAGCAUUGCCCUGCUUAGUAAGGUCUUAUUAAAUUGUUUUUCUAUUUGGGGGAGAUUUCCCACUUUUGUUUGGAGCAAAAUAAUUUAUUUGGUUAAAAAGAAGCUUAAAACAUUCUUGUUGUGUUAAAUUUUGAGUUGUAUUCCUGCCUCUUGGGGAUGGGAGAGGGGCAUUGAGAGCAGGGUCUUAAGUAUGCUAGGCUAGCAUUUUGCUAGAUGAUAAUAACCUUUAACUUCUCCUGCCUCCAUUUGUAUAUUGCAAGUAGGAUUAUAAAUGCAUAACAUCCACCAUAUAAAAUUCUUUCCCUUCUUGUCUAAGCAAAAUGCAAACUUGAUAUAUAUAUAUUACCCUUGCAGUAUGAAAAUAACGAAUUACUAUUUUUCUUUUAAUUUGUGUAAAGCAUGGGUGAGGCGGAGCUAGGGUGGAAGUGUAUGAUGUAUGUGUACAUGUGCAUAUUCAUGUGGAAAAUAGUGGUCUUCUUAGUCUCAGUCCUCCUUAGGAUUUUGUUUUUUAAUUAAAUUUUUUUUUAAAUUAUGAUUGUGUGGGUUUACAUGCACACUUUUAACAUGCAUGUGAACUAUCAGAAAACUGGUCUUGGGAGUCAUUUCUUUCCAACCAUCUAUGUUCCAGAGACAGAACUCAAAUUAUCACAUAGCAAGUUCUUUUUGUGUUGAGCCAUUUCACCUUAUUUAUUUAAGACAGAGUAUCUUCACUAUAAUUGGAGUUUGCCAUUUUGGACAAGUGUCUUGGCCAGCAAACCCCCGAAGCUACUUGUGUCUAUACCCCCAACACAGAGGCUUUAGUGUCACUGUGUCAGGCUUUUCACAUGGUCCAGGGGUCCCAGUCUGGGUCCUUGAGCCUGCAUAACAAACCCUUUACCCACUUGAUCAUCUAUUCCUCCCUACUACAUUUCUUUAAUUUUCCAAAACAUAACAAAAUGUCUACAAUAGGAAAAAUUAUUAAGCAGUCUUAAUUAGUAAAAAUAAUUUAUAUCUAUUUCUGUAUUUAUUUAAAUUAUUCUGGGUUGGAGAGAUGGCUCAGCGGUUAAGAGUACUGUCGGCUCUUUUCGAGAGGUCCUAAGUUCAGUUUCUAACAACUACAUUCUCACAACCAUCUAAACUGAGAUCUGGUCCUCUUCUGGCAUGCAAGUGUACACGCAGAUAGAGCACUCAUAC